CUCAGGACGAACGCUGGCGGCGUGCUUAACACAUGCAAGUCGAGCGGUAAGGCCCUUCGGGGUACACGAGCGGCGAACGGGUGAGUAACACGUGAGCAACCUGCCCCUGACUCCGGGAUAAGCGGUGGAAACGCCGUCUAAUACCGGAUACGACCCGCCACCUCAUGGUGGAGGGUGGAAAGUUUUUCGGUCAGGGAUGGGCUCGCGGCCUAUCAGCUUGUUGGUGGGGUAACGGCCUACCAAGGCGAUUACGGGUAGCCGGCCUGAGAGGGCGACCGGCCACACUGGGACUGAGACACGGCCCAGACACCUGCGGGAGGCAGCAGUGGGGAAUAUUGCGCAAUGGGCGAAAGGCUGACGCAGCGACGCCGCGUGGGGGAUGACGGCCUUCGGGUUGUAAACCUCUUUUACCACCAACGCAGGCCCGGAGUUCUCUUCGGGUUGACGGUAGGUGGGGAAUAAGGACCGGCUAACUACGUGCCAGCAGCCGCGGUAAUACGUAGGGUCCGAGCGUUGUCCGGAAUUAUUGGGCGUAAAGAGCUCGUAGGCGGCCUGUCGCGUCUGCUGUGAAAGACCGGGGCUUAACUCCGGUUCUGCAGUGGAUACGGGCAUGCUAGAGGUAGGUAGGGGAGACUGGAAUUCCUGGUGUAGCGGUGAAAUGCGCAGAUAUCAGGAGGAACACCGGUGGCGAAGGCGGGUCUCUGGGCCUUACCUGACGCUGAGGAGCGAAAGCAUGGGGAGCGAACAGGAUUAGAUACCCUGGUAGUCCAUGCCGUAAACGUUGGGCGCUAGGUGAGGGGACUUUCCACGGUUUCCGCGCCGUAGCUAACGCAUUAAGCGCCCCGCCUGGNGAGUACGGCCGCAAGGCUAAAACUCAAAGGAAUUGACGGGGGCCCGCACAAGCGGCGGAGCAUG
rnacentral:rRNA from 1 species